rnacentral:rRNA from 1 species
AUUGAACGCUGGCGGCAUGCCUAACACAUGCAAGUCGAGCGAGCGGCGGACGGGUGAGUAAUGUAUGGGGACUGCCCGAUAGAGGGGGAUAACUACUGGAAACGGUGGCUAAUACCGCAUACUAUCGGAUAACCCAUAUGGGAUUAGCUAGUAGGUGGAUUACAGGCUCACCUAGGCGACGAUCUCUAGCUGGUAUGAGCGGAUGAUCAGACACACUGGGACGGAGACACGGCCCAGACCACUACGGAGGAAGCAGUGGGGAAUAUUGGACAAUGGGCGCAAGCCGGAGGCAGCCAUGCCGCGUGGAUGAAGAAGGCCUUAGGUUUGUAAAGUACUUUCAGCGGGGAGGCGUUACCCGCAGAAGAAGCACCGGCUAACUCCGUGCCAGCAGCCGGGGUAAUAC